CGGCCUCGAGCUCAUAAAAAUUGUUGAAUAUAAAAACGAACAUAUAAACAGAAAGAUACAAAUUCAUCGAUCUCCUAGAGACUGGCGACUAGCAAGUGGGGAGCAACUUCUGCUUUGCAUGUGGCGAAGUUCGAACUUGCAAAUGGGCAUCAACUCAGUUUGUGCUUGUGAGUCUGUUGCGGUUGGAGCUGAAAUUCUGCAUUCCUUUGUGGCAAUUGGCCACGAUUCACUGUGUAUCAGGAUCGAACAGUCAAUCCAAUAUACAGUUGACAGGCAUUCAAGAAAAUCUAAUAGGCACAUACGUGUUAUUAAUAGGAAAUUCUUUGAUGGCGAUUGCGCGGAAUAAGUAAUCUUCACUUUAACAAACCCAAAACAAAAUAUAUGUACAUUCGGAAUAAGAAAGCUUGUCAUAACAGAUGCUGGUACACCACUCAGGUGCUAUAGCAGCCAGCACAGAGGGUGUACCUGUAGAGUCUGCUGAAACGGAUUUCAACACUCCAUAUAAAGCGACCAAACAUCUGUUUGAGAGUGAGUUGAAGGGAUAAGGCGUAAAACCUCGCGUGCGCUGGGUGUGGUUGCCACUACGUUAAAAGGAUUACCAUUUGAAUUUAUGCACCUGGAAUAUCCGGACCCUUAAUGAAGAAGCUAUCUCUGCCGGCUGGUUGGUGGUCUCAGGAAGACAAAGGCUGACAUCAUAUCGAACGAAUGUACUGGAUAUCUUUAUAGAUAUUUCGUACUCAAUACAGAUUUUUUAAUAGACACACAUCGUUACCUUGGCAUUGAAGGAUCCUAACUCAUUUCUCUUUCUAAAUCUGACGUCGUACAAAAUUCUGUAUAUCACUCACUAAGGACUUAGUUUUUUUUUUUUAAUUUAAAA